ACAAGAUAAGAUCACGUUUAUACAAGAUAAUUAUCAUGUUUAUACAAGAUAAGCAACAAAAAAAAUAUUUUGUCCAGUGGCAGCAAUACGCUUCCGUAGUAUCCCCCUGCCUGUACAGCCAUAGACAACUCCAACCACAGAUAAGAGAACUUCUGCUUUGCUGACAACUGGAGAAGAACUCCUCUUUUGCUGGUGUGCUUUGGACCAGCCUCUUCUUACCACUAUCGGACAUUUUGUUUCCAGCUGUGUUUACCUUCCUUUUCCUGUUCCAACUCAUCUGGAACACCGUUUACUGUGCAUUAUCCUGUCUUUCUAAUCUAAUAAAUGUGUUUCCAUAAACCAGUUAUUCCCAUAGGUGUUCUGGUUUUUCCUUAAUUCAGAAACCUGGUCUACAGGUGACCAGAGUUUACUUUCUUUCUACAAACUUGAUAUUUGCUGAUUUCUCCCAACCAGUGUUUACUGUCUCUCUUCUAUCUUUCUGUGUUUCCAGUUGAAUCCAAAUUUGAGACGUUAUUUCAUGUAAAAAAAACUAUCAAGUGAAAGUCCUUGAUUGGGGUUUAUGGGUUACCCUGCAUUGUUUUGGAUUGAUCGAGAUCUGAGAAUCGCUGUUGGUGCUGCAUCUGGUCUUGAGCUGCUGUUCUGUGGAUUUCCCAAAGGUUUGUUGUUCCUGAUGAAAUAA